UCGUCCACCACGCCGCACCGCGCUGUCGCAAGGGAUGCCGCAUCCUCUCCACUGUGAGCAUCGCCACACUGUUCAGCCAAGCUCCCACCUCGAACCCCCCUCCGAAAGCUAAGCCUCCAUCUCCUUCUCGAUCCAACAUGCUCCCAGGUCUCUAUCGGUGCGCUUCAGAUUUGAUUUUGUGGUGUGUGUGCAUUUGAUGAGUGUGUGCAUUUUGAGUGUGUUUGUGCUGGGCUUUUCAGAUGGGUAUCUCCAAAUUGAAGAUCUUGGGCAUCCGAUUCUGUUUUUUGAUCUGAUCGGAGUCCAAAAAAUCAAUCUUUCUUUUAUUCUCUGACCAAAUCUGAAUCUGGGUCCUGAAAAGCUCUGAAGAUUAUUCAUCAGUGCGCAUGGC
rnacentral:lncRNA from 1 species